UACAGAAGCAGGCAAAGACACAGAAAGAUCACCAGAAACUUCUGCUGUUUACAAAAACUACUGAAAGAGAAUCCAUCUAUCCAGAACGGUCAGAAUGAGGUGCUUUUGUGUGGUCAUCUGGAUUCUUCUCUCGGAAGUGGCUGCUGAGGCGCCAGAUAUCAGAGUGGCAGGACAUGUUGGAGGAUCAGUGAAGAUCCAGUGUCCUCACCUGUUAGCUAAAACCAACACAAAGUAUUUCUGCAGGUAUCCGUGUAUAAAAAAUCAGGACAUGUUGAUUAAAUCUGGUCAGUCACUUACUGGAAGAUACACACUGGAGGAUUCAGGCAAUGGAGACAUCACUGUGACCAUCAUUGACCUCCAGAAAUCAGACGCUGGAACUUACUGGUGUGGAGUGGAGAGAUUACUAAUGAUGGACACGUAUCAUGAGGUGCUCCUCACAGUCACAGAUGCUCCCUCCACCCACAAACACCCACCCAAAGCUACUCCAACAGCAGCUGCUGUAAGAACAGUGAGAUUUAAGUUCUUCACCACCUCUUCAUCCACUCUCCCUCCCUCCAUCACCCACCAUCCACCAUCUCCUCCUCCUCUGCACCUAAACCAACAUUUCCAGCUCAGCACUCACUCAACAUCUCAUCACCUACCAGAGAGAUUCUACUGUAUGUUGCUGCUGGACUUGUCACUGUGAUUGUAUUCAGCAUCGCUGCUGUAAUCUACACUGGUAGAGGACCAAAAAGACGAUCUAAACUUCAAAGUGAUCUCAUCUCAGCGAUGUCCUCCACUGCUGGUCUAGAAGAAGAAGAUCUACACUCACACGUCUGCUUUACUGUCAUCAACUGCUCUGCUGGCUUCACCUCAGAGACUCUCAACAACCAAGCUUUGGACAACCUGCUGUACUCCACAGAGAAAGGACUACUCACACAUGUGAUCUACAGCUUAGACAGAUAAUCAUUCAUCUUUCACCACAGUGAAGAACUGCAAUAGAAGAGAAAUAAAAAAUAAACAUCAAGAACAUCCGCUAGCUCCAUUAUGAUUAAAAAAUAAUCAAAUUUGAAUUCCUGGAAAUGGUCA